rnacentral:lncRNA from 1 species
UUACAAAUACUAUAAGAGUGCAUGUUAGUUCAGUGACUUGUAAAAAUUGUGAUACCCCAAUCUUACAUUGAAAAAAUAUGUGAUUGUUGAUUUUCAUCAAAAUCUGAUACUAUUGAUAAUAUUCUGGUCCCAAUACCACUAGUCCAACAACUUAUUUGACCCAAACAAUUGACUCUCAACUAUUGCCGAUAACUUUUGAGCUUGAACUAUUGACUGCUAGUGGUUUGGAUCAGAAAGUCGUUAGGCCACUGGUUUCUUAGGUCUAUAGUUUU